CUACUACUCCCCCCGUCCCAAAAUUCUUGUCUUAGAUUUAUCUAGAUAUGGAUGUAUCUAACACUAAAAUACGAAUAGAUAUAUCCGUAUAUAGACAAAUUUAAGACAAUUAUUUCGGGACGGAGGGAGUACUAU
rfam:Triticum aestivum genome assembly, contig: Triticum_aestivum_CS42_TGACv1_scaffold_579978_7BL